CUCCAUGAGAUAUACCCAUUUCGAAUGAAGGCCACAAAGUGGUCCAAAUAUCCACUUGCAGAUUCUACAAAUAGAGUGUUUCAAACCUGAACUAUCAAAGGAAGUUUCAUCUCUGUGAGUUGAAUGCAAACAUCACAAAGAAGUUUCUGAGAAUGCUUCCGUUUAGUUAUGUGAAGUUUAUCCAGUUUCCCAUGAAAUCCUCAGAGAGGUCCAAAUAUCCACUUGCACGUUUUAAAAAAAGUGUGCUUUGAAACUGCUCCAUCAAAAGGAAUGUUCAGCUCUGUGAGUUAAACUCAAUCAUCACAAAGAAUUUUCUGAGAAUGCUUCUGUCUAGUUUUUAUAUGAAGUUAUUUCCUUUACUACCAUAGGCUUCAAGGCGGUCCAAAUCUCCACUUUCAGAUUCUACAAAAAGAGUGUUUCCAAAGUCCUCUAUCAAUAGGAAUGUUCAACUCUGUGAGGUGAAUGCAGUCAUCACAAAGUAGUUUUGUUAUGUGAAGAUAUACCCGUUUCGAACGAAGGCCACAAAGUGUUUCAAAACUGCUCUAUCAAUAGGAAUGUUCAACUCUGUGAGUCGAAU
rnacentral:lncRNA from 1 species